UACGUAGGGGGCGAGCGUUGUCCGAAGUUACUGGGCGUAAAGCGCGCGUAGGCGGUGCUUUAAGUCCGGCGUGAAAGGUUCAGGGCUCAACCCGAACAGUGCGCUGGAGACUGGAGCGCUUGAGGACGGGAGAGGGAAGCGGAAUUCCGGGUGUAGCGGUGAAAUGCGUAGAUAUCCGGAGGAACACCGAUGGCGAAGGCAGCUUCCUGGUCCGUAUCUGACGCUGAGGUGCGAAAGCGUGGGGAGCGAACGGG
rnacentral:rRNA from 1 species